UGAAUACAAGAUGCUACGGCAUCGAAGCAGUCUAUGUCAGACUUCCAAGAAAAGCUUGCACUGUCAAAAACAAAGAAUGCCUGUACCAUAACCGACACAGGUGGGUAGGUAGAGUAUACUAAGGGGCGCGAGAUAACUCUCUCUAAGGAACUCGGCAAAAUGACUCCGUAACUUCGGGAGAAGGGGUGCCUUAUUUAUAAGGUUGCAAUAACAAGAUCCAAGCAACUGUUUAUCAAAAACACAGGUCUCCGCUAAGUCGUAAGACGAUGUAUGGGGGCUGACGCCUGCCCAGUGCCAGAAGGUUAAAGAAGUUGGUUAGUGUAUGCGAAGCUGAUGACUGAAGCCCUGGUGAACGGCGGCCGUAACUAUAACGGUCCUAAGGUAGCGAAAUUCCUUGUCGGGUAAGUUCCGACCCGCACGAAAGGCGUAAUGAUUUGGAUACUGUCUCGGAGAGAGGCUCGGUGAAAUAGACUUGUCUGUGAAGAUGCGGACUACCUGCACCAGGACAGAAAGACCCUAUGAAGCUUUACUGUAACUUGAAAUUGGAAUUGGACUUUGCUUGCGCAGUAUAGGUGGGAAGCGUUGAAGAUAUUCUUGCGGGAGUAUUGGAGCUAUCAGUGAGAUACCACUCUUGUAAUGUUAGAUUUCUAACUUUGAACCAUAAUCUGGUCAAAGAACAGUUUCAGGUGGGCAGUUUGACUGGGGCGGUCGCCUCCCAAAUGGUAACGGAGGCGUACAAAGGUUUCCUCUGAACGGAUAGAAAUCGUAUCUAGAGUGUAAAGGCAUAAGGAAGCUUGACUGUGAGACCUACAAGUCGAGCAGGGACGAAAGUCGGUCUUAGUGAUCUGACGGUACUGAGUGGAAAGGCCGUCACUCAACGGAUAAAAGUUACUCUAGGAUAACAGGCUGAUCUCCCCCAAGAGUUCACAUCGACGGGGAGGUUUGGCACCUCGAUGUCGGCUCAUCGCAUCCUGGGGCGGUAGUACGUCCCAAGGGUUGGGCUGUUCGCCCAUGAAAGCGGUACGCGAGCUGGGUUCAGAACGUCGUGAGACAGUUCGGUCCAUAUCCGGUGUAGGCGUUAGAAUAUUGAGAGGAGCCUUCUUUAGUACGAGAGGACCGAGAAGGACACACCGCUGGUGUACCAGUUAUCGUGCCAACGGUAAACGCUGGGUAGCUAUGUGUGGAGUGGAUAACCGCUGAAAGCAUCUAAGUGGGAAGCCCACCUCAAGAUGAGUAUUCUCA
rnacentral:rRNA from 1 species